GACGAACGCUGGCGGCGUGCUUAACACAUGCAAGUCGAACGGAAAGGCCCUGCUUUUGUGGGGUGCUCGAGUGGCGAACGGGUGAGUAACACGUGAGUAACCUGCCCUUGACUUUGGGAUAACUUCAGGAAACUGGGGCUAAUACCGGAUAGGAGCUCCUGCUGCAUGGUGGGGGUUGGAAAGUUUCGGCGGUUGGGGAUGGACUCGCGGCCUAUCAGCUUGUUGGUGGGGUAGUGGCUUACCAAGGCUUUGACGGGUAGCCGGCCUGAGAGGGUGACCGGCCACAUUGGGACUGAGAUACGGCCCAGACUCCUACGGGAGGCAGCAGUGGGGAACAUUGCACAAUGGGCGGAAGCCUGAUGCAGCAGCGCCGCGUGCGUGAUGACGGCCUUCGGGUUGUAAACCGCUUUCGCCUGUGACGAAGCGUGAGUGACGGUAAUGGGUAAAGAAGCACCGGCUAACUACGUG
rnacentral:rRNA from 1 species